UCCACCACAUGGAGCUCCACCUGAAACACACCAGGGUUUUAAACACUAUCACAAAUAUGAGUACCCCUAUACGAUGGCUAAUGUAAAAAAAAAAAAAAAAUCAAAUCAAAUGAAAUAAAUUAAACUAAUCAAAUCUGACAUUUAAUAAUAGAUCAAAUCAAAAUCAAUUAAUUCCUUUAAUAUUCAUAUGAUUGCUGAUUCAGUACAUCAGUAUUCGGUACUGAAACAUUAUCUUCUGUCAGUGAGCUUUCUGUCGUCGUGGGUUCUUAAACACAGUGAGAAAAUAUUCAGUUCCCUUUCAAAGGGAACUUCAUCGUUGCGUUUAGCAUAACACUAUGGGAACGCCUUGCGCGCGUGACUGGUAUCUGAAGCUUGUGUAAAAUCAUACCUCUACUUAUAGGCCUGCCAUGAUCAGGUGACGUGGCAAUUAAGCGCAUCGCAUGAUAUAUAUAUAUAUGGCACCUGUGAACCACGCCAUCAGCCUUAUUAUCUUCAGCGAGACUGCAUGUCUGUUUGUGUGACAAAAACGCUUCAUUCCUACUCGAUAUUUUCUCAAAAUCUCUUAACUUUUCUAUCCUUUUUAGAGUAAAAGAGAGGUAAGUAAUGAAUUCGAGAAGUGUGUUACGGCUUGUUCCCGUUUCAUCAUGGGGAAAAGUGUACACUUUCUGGGUGAAGUGUUAACGGUGUAGUAUGCGAUGGCAGUCUCGAGAGGCUGUGCAUGGUAACGCCUACAUUAAGCAGCGCGGCUCGCGCUCUUCAAGAAAAAAAACGGAAGCCGAAGCGAGUUGGGUUUCAGAGCCUCGCGGAUCUGGGCCGACCGCUGCCGAGGCAGCCAGCCAUCUCAGGUUCGGGGGAUCUCUUAUAGAUCCGGAAGAGGAGCCGGAGACGAGCGCUGCUCUAUCUCUUGCUCAGUCUUCCGGGUUCGGCUCUCCGCUGGAUUUUGGAGCUCGCGUCACCACUCUUCCUUCCGCUAUAGAAAGCCAAAAGGUAAUAAUUCCUCUCUGACUCCAAGGAGUUAGAAGGAUGUGUUAAAAACUGAGAGCAGCAUAUAAAGAGUUGCUUGAAGUGAUUACCCAGUGAAAGUAAAUCCCUCACACUGCAGAAACUCCCCUGUUUUCCAGAAGUGCAUGACAAAAUCUCAGGUUUCUGGGGGAAAACCACGUAUAAGCCAUAUUCAUAACCCCACGAUGUUGGAUUAUUCGGCCAUUGUGGGAAUGAACGGCAUGGCUAUUUAGCUAUGCUCAAGGUGGAGGAGGCGCUUGUGAGCUACCUCUCUCCACCGACGGCAGGUAAUUACGGGGGCCGGCUUGCAUCCAAGCCAUGUAAGGCCACCGUGGCAUUGGUGGGCAAGCCUAUGCAGUAGUAGUCUUGCUUGUGGGUCAAUGCAGACAAUGACAGGGUUGCAGGCCUACCAAGCAGACCUGCUGAGUGAGCUCGACAUAUGGCGGCAUUCAAAAAAAGCCAGUUCCUUCCCUGUUGUCUCGAGCUCACCCGGGCGUGUGGAGCCUGGGACAGCACUAUUGUGAGGGAGUCCCAGAAGGCGAGUAUGGCAGCCCGCCAACCCAGACAGCAGACAGCCAGGGGAACCGUGCGGCCACAGUCGCGAUCUGCUACUAGGCCUGAUCUGAGAAUAGUCAUAAAGGCCAAGCGGGCAAAGAAGAGCAGUCCUGAGGGGCCGUGGAGGGAUGUAUCUGGGGACGUGAGGUUGUUAGGGCAGGUAGCCCCCCAGUGCUACUGUAGGGCCUCCCCUAGCCAAGGCAGUCCAACAAGUUUUCAGUGUUCUCUGGUCAGCGAGCUGUCACAGGGCAAGGAAAAUCUGAUGCUUUCCCUCCAAUAGAAUGCGGAAUAGUUAACGUCACCAAAAGACCAUCGGGCAGCGUGCAAACUACUGCCAAAUGUGUCUCCGUGGGUUCUGUCUACCGUAGAAAGGGUUACCGGGUCCAGUUUAUAGCUCGA
ensembl:lncRNA